GAUAAGAGGAAGCACCACAAUCUGGGAGAAAAAAACACAUGAUAAGACAUAUAUUAGGCCAAAAAAUUUCAGUCAGUUCAAAAUAUAUCAAGGAAAAAUGUAAAAGAAUAUAAUUUUAAAUGCUAAGAACUUAAUUCAAAGUGAACUUAACUUCAACACAAUAGAAUUUUAAGAAAUCAAUCUAAUAUUAUUGCAAUGAAGUAACACGUGCACCCUUUUCGACUUAAGAAUUAUACAAAGGAUAGCUGAGAAACAUUAGAAAGCCAAUUAGCUUUAGAAUUUUUAGAAUGCUUCCCUUUUCUCUCAGAGAAACAUAAAAGAAUAUUUGGAGAAAAGUUAUGGUGAAUAAGAAUCACAAUUGUUCAUUGUUUAAG
rnacentral:misc_RNA from 1 species